ACAGAGGGGGCAAGCGUUAUUCGGAAUUAUUGGGCGUAAAGGGCGCGUAGGCGGUUUUUUAAGUCAGAUGUGUAAUCCCCGGGCUUAACCUGGGAACUGCAUCUGGGACUGGAAGACUAGAGUACUGGAGAGGGUGGUGGAAUUCCUCGUGUAGCGGUGAAAUGCGUAGAGAUGAGGAGGAACACCAGUGGCGAAGGCGGCCACCUGGACAGUAACUGACGCUGAGGCGCGAAAGUGUGGGUAGCAAACAGGAUUAGAUACCCUGGUAGUCCACGCUGUAAACGAUGAACACUUGGUGUGGUGGGAGUUGACCCCUGCCGUGCCGGAGCUAACGCGUUAAGUGUUCCGCCUGGGGAGUACGGUCGCAAGGCUG
rnacentral:rRNA from 1 species